ensembl:lncRNA
AUGUCAGACAGUGUCUGCUCUGGACACCUUCAGUAACACACAUGGGUGGGAGACAGUUUAUAAGUGGAAGAGUGUGGGGAUUUUCAUUAUUCCUUUGAAGUAGGAAGGCUUGAUCAAUGGCUUGACCCUAGCCAUUGAAAAGACUGGAACAGAGCUGAGUGCCUAUUUCAUGUCUGAUAUUUCUCUCCUCCGACCGGAUAAAAAGGAAUAGCGAGAAAAUACAGUCAUGACACUUUACCUCAGUAAAUCUGUAAGGCAAAAUUAUUCACAUUUGGGCAUUUAAUGCUCCACAGCAGGAGCAGUCCAGGAAACUUUAAAGCUCUGAAAACCACCACGUUUUCUCUAAUAUGAAUUUCACCUAUUUUAUUUAGUGAUUCUUGACUAGUUACAAAGCUCAUAGCUACCAUAUAUACCUCCAUAAGAAUGCAGCUACUUUUCUGUCCUGGCCCCUUAGAUAUUUCCCCUCAACCAACAUUCAUGAGUUUUUUCUAGGAUUUUGUUUAAUAAAAUUUUCCUUCUUCCUACAACAUCAAAGCUAUCUAUUUUUUAGGUCACCUGGUGUCUCAAGGGCUCACUACUAGUUUCUUCCUGUCUGAUUGCCUAAACCUCCUGCAGCCAUCUCUGCCCACUAACCACUGUUAAAGAGCAAGUGGGGGUUGCAGAAGAUCUGACACCUCAGCAACUAUUUUGUUUGUUCUCAAAGACUGACUACUAUCUUUCAUUCAUCACCCAAAGAUAAUUACACACAUUUACCAGCCAAAAGAGCACUGCUACAUAAAUACAAGUGCUGGCAUUACACAGAUUGUUACAUCUAUUCAAGAUGGAUACCCUUUCCCUGUUGUCUUCUGCAAGUCUUUCUUUCACUUCAGGCCUUGAUUCCUUCUUCCCUACAGGAGGAUAUUUCUCCCUGUGCUCUCUUUUCACAACAGUAUUGCACUUCCCAAGAGGUUAUAGAUUUAUUUGGCAACAUCAGGCUUUUCUACUCCAUCUUUCCCACAAGUUCCUUACACCUAGAGCUCAGUCAGCCUGCUGCGACUUUCACUUCAGUCCACUUAGCUCACUUCUACUUCCCAUACAUCUGCUUGAGAAGUGCUGAGUAGCAUAACUUGCUCAAGCCUCUCACUUUUGCACUCAUGCAGCUUUGGAGGCCUCAUCCCAAGACACAUCCCCCUGCAGUGAAAUACCCACUUAUUUAUUCUCACAUGCGGCAGAUUCAUCCCCUGGGGAAAAAAAGGGAAAAGGUUUGCUUCAUCUAGAGACCUUACAGGCUCAGCUGAUCCCUUGGUAGAGGAAGACAUGUAGAAUAUGUAUUGCUGCCAUAAAUUGCAGGUAGUGAAAAGAAAAAGAACCCUGUGGAGAUAUCUGAAAUCUAAUCUCAGACCGGCAGCAAUCUAAAAUAAACUACAGCUGGUGUUUCAGCUUUGAUUCUGCUUCCACCAAAGGCAAAUGGCAUAAUUCCCAUUGAUUCCAAUUAAAUCAUAGACUAGGUCCUCUUCUUACUCAUCUUUCUUUUUUUGAUGCCUCUAUCUACUUUUUAGUUGUAAAUUUCUCUGCAGUACUGCAAUACUCUCAGCACCAUAAAAAAAAUCUGAGAAGUCCAUACAAGCGCAAAUCCUGGUACUAUUUUUUUUAAUAAGAAAACAGGGAAGAUUUUUAACUCUCCUAAUUAAUGUCAUGAAAGGAAAAGCAGCAUGGUUUUGUGCUAAUGGUUUAGUUUGUUUCAGUUAGGGCUAGAAUCUUUCCUAAGAACCAACAUACCUUCUGUACAUCUCUACACUUCAGAAAAAAGUACCCUCUUAUGACAGUAAAUAUAUAAAUGCGAGAAUGCAACUGUUAACCAUUUUGCAGCAGGUGUUAAAGACUUCUGCAUCUAGCUUGCAUGACCUUGAUAUGCCUUCUCUGAAAGCAGAACAUGCACACACUUGUUUUUAGGCUGCAAUCACACACGUGUACAGAGGCAGCUGUGGUGCUGCGCAACAUCCCUGCAUUUGUGCUGCCAUUCUUGUGGAAGUUGCACUGCCACAAGUUAUGCAGCUUUUUGCUUCUCUCACUGUUCUUACAAGGACAGCCAGAGGGUCUCCUGGUUUCCACUUCAAUGGUGACACAGAGCAUGACACUGAAUCUAUGCUGUGGGCAGUUCAGCUGCAGCUGUUUUGAGACACUUGCAGGCAAAGUUUCGGGAUUGUCAGCUCCCGCAUUUUACUGGGCUCCUUGUCCUCUUUCCUGGAGGUCUGCCCUUGAAAGUCUGGCCUUCAUGGUUGCAGAGAAAAGCCUGGAAACACAGAAUCUUACAAUAUUUUUAAGUGUGACUCAUGACUUUUUGCCAUGAAGGGCACAUACGAU